UAAAAAGAUAAGAAGCUUAAUUCUGAGGAUAGAGAUGAGUUUAAAAAAAAAAUUGAAAAUGCCAAUAACCAGUAAAAUUUUCAUUAAGUCUGACCCCCUCCAUCUUUUUACUCUCCACCUUCUUGACCUUUAACUACCAAAAUUUAAUAGCAUCAAUGCCCCAUAUAUAGAAAUAACCCUGCCAGGUUUCAAAUUUUUUGGUGCAUCUAGUCCUAAGAUGUAAUGCAAAAUAGAUACUGACAUACUAACACACACACACAAUUUUGUAAUGAUUUUUUUUUACAUUAUUAUUACACAGACUUUUGUAAAGUUCUUUUUUAAUAUUAUUAUUGCAUGUUUGGGCUCCUCAAGUGUCAAAACAUUAACAAAUGAAAAAAUAACUGGAGGAAUCAAAAUUUGACUGAUCAUCAUACUUUCCCUAUGGUAUAUUCUGAAACAUCUGGAAAGUAAUAUAUGCAUAAUAUGAUGAAAAUCAACAGUUAACUAGACUGAUGAGAAGAAAUGGAUUUUCAGAAUUUGAUUCACUUCAACGUAUUAGUGCUCAAAUGCCAUUGAAAGAAAAAUGUAAUAUGGCAGACUUUGUUAUUGAUAACUCUGGUUAUUAUUUUAUAUUCUCAAAAGUUUAUAAUGGAAUAAUUUUAUAAAUGUGACUACUUCAAAAACUUCAGCAUGAUCUGUAUAAGCGAUUGUUCCAGAAUAUACCAGAGUCGGAUGUUUUUAUUUAUCUUUGCUUGCAUCUCUGGAUUUCUAUUUGCUUUUGUAUGGAGACAGUAUGAACAAACUGUAAAGUUUUCUCUCUCGUUUAAUCAUUAUUCUUCAUCUCUUGUAGAUACCAGUUAUGGAAAAUGGCUAAAGCAAAAUGGUUUAAUGCAUAAAGCCAUUCCUGAAGAAAAUAUAAGCUUUGCACAAAAUGCAAUUGAGACGGAAGCAAUGUAUCUUCAAAAAAAGAUCCCUGUUUUAUGUAUGAUAUUUGUUAAAUCGCAUAAAACUGCCAUGGCUGUUAAAGAGACUUGGGCUAAGCAUUGUAAUUUUGCCGUAAAUCUUGGAAGUUUUGUCGACGAAGAAAUUCCUGUUUUAAAAGUUUCGCCAAUUCCGUUUCAAGCUUUUUGUCAAGGGUUCGUGUCGGCGUGGAUAAAAUAUGAGGAUUCCAUUAAAUGGAUGGUGAUUGUUGAUGAUAAAACAUAUGUUAUUGUUGAAAAUUUGAGAUAUUAUGUUGCUUCUUUGAACAGCAGUCAUCCUUAUUAUCUUGGACAUCCUGUAAAGGACUUUUCAAAUAUCUACAACACAGCAGAUGCUGGUAUUGUACUUAGUCAUGGUGCCUUGAAAUUAUUGUUUUCUAUUUACUCUGAUGGAAAUAAGUGUUUUGAUAAAGAUAAAAAGUCAUCUAACUAUUAUGAUGUUGGAAUAGGAAAAAUAAUGAAAAAAUUUGAAGUAUUUCCUGUUGACACGAGAGAUAAAAAAACUCGAGGACGAUUUAAUCCAUUUCCUAUAGAAAAAAUGUUGAUACCGGGCUUCACUUCAAUUUUUAAUCCAUAUUGGCGAUCAAGUGUAUAUUUAAGCAGUGAGGGGAGCAAUUGCUGUAGUAAUGAUGCAAUUACAUUUCAUGCAGUGCCCACAGACUAAUAAAGGGGGAGCAUGAGCUAUAAAAAAGGCAUUGCAGAUACAUUAUAUAAAAUAUACAGUAUAUACCAGUAUAUAUAUAUAUUUACAGGUAUCUCUUGAUUAAUGCAGUUAAUUAAUCCCUCGAUGCUACUGUGUAUAUCAAAAUUGUGUUAAUCAAAUACAAUGGUACCUUGGUACUCGAACAAACAAUCAUGACCCGCUAGAACAAAUUUUUGUUGAUUGUGAAGAUAAAAUUGAUAACACUUGAAAACAGUUAUAGCAAAAGAAUCUUUAAGCUUAGAUUACUUUAUAUGAAUAAUUGACUUG
rnacentral:misc_RNA from 1 species